UACGGGGGGGGGCAAGCGUUGUUCGGAAUUACUGGGCGUAAAGGGUGCGUAGGUGGCGCGCUAAGUCAGGUGUGAAAUUUCGGAGCUUAACUCCGAAACUGCAUUUGAUACUGGUGUGCUUGAGGACUGGAGAGGAGACUGGAAUUCAUGGUGUAGCAGUGAAAUGCGUAGAGAUCAUGAGGAAGACCAGUGGCGAAGGCGGGUCUCUGGACAGUUCCUGACACUGAGGCACGAAGGCCAGGGGAGCAAACGGG
rnacentral:rRNA from 1 species